rnacentral:misc_RNA from 1 species
UACGGAGGGUGCGAGCGUUAAUCGGAAUUACUGGGCGUAAAGCGCGCGUAGGCGGCUGGCUAAGUCGGGUGUGAAAGCCCCGGGCUCAACCUGGGAACUGCAUCCGAUACUGACCGGCUAGAGUAUGAGAGAGGGAGGUAGAAUUCCACGUGUAGCGGUGAAAUGCGUAGAUAUGUGGAGGAAUACCGGUGGCGAAGGCGGCCUCCUGGCUCAAUACUGACGCUGAGGUGCGAAAGCGUGGGGAGCAAACAGG